GGGUCAGUAGGUUGGUCGUGCCACCGGUACGUACUGGUCUCACUGAUUCCUCCUUCCUGAAGAACCGUAAUGCCAUUAAUUUGGUGUUGUGGGGAAACAGGACUGUUACUUUGAAAAAAUUAGCGUGUUUAAAGCAAGCUAACGCUUGAAUACAUUAGCAUGGAAUAAUGAAAUAGGACGAUCGAUCCUAUUUUGUUGGUUUCUAGGAUUGACGUA
rnacentral:rRNA from 1 species